AGCAAAGUGGCCACAGGUAUGGUCUCUGGAGCUGGACUGUCUGGGUUCAAAUCCCAGCCUUGCUA
rnacentral:tRNA from 1 species